GAUUAACGCUGGCGGCGUGCAUAACACAUGCAAGUCGAACGGUGAAACUCAUUAGAUUUCUUCGGAAUGAAAAUGAAUGGAAUAGUGGCGAACGGGUGAGUAAAGUGUGAGUUACCUGCCUUACACAAGGGGAAAGGCUCUGGAAAAGGAGAAUAAUACCCUAUGAAACCAGACAAUAGCAUGAUAAUCUGGGCAAAAUGAUUAGUGGUGUAAGAUGGACUUGCGUCUGAUUAGCUAGUUGGUGAGAUAAAAGCUCACCAAGGCAACGAUCAGUAGCCGGCUUGAGAGAGUGUACGGCCACAUUGGGACUGAGACACGGCCCAGACUCCUACGGGAGGCAGCAGUGGGGAAUUUUGCACAAUGGGGGAAACCCUGAUGCAGCGACGCCGCGUGAUUUAGAAGGCCUUCGGGUUGUAAAAAUCUUUUGUAUAGGAAGAAAAUGACAGUACUAUACGAAUAAGGUCCGGCUAAUUACGUG
rnacentral:rRNA from 1 species